GAUGAACGCUGGCGGCGUGCCUAAUACAUGCAAGUCGAGCGAAGCGGGGACGGGUGAGUAACACGUGGAUAACCUCCUAUAAGACUGGGGUAAGGUCGGGGAACCGGAGCUCAACAGGAUACUUAUAGCGGUAUCCGAGCUGCAUUAGCUAGUUGGUACGGUAACGGCGUACCAAGGCAACGAUGCAUAGCCGACCUGAGAGGGUGAUCGGCCACACUGGAACUGAGACACGGUCCAGACUCCGACGGGAGGCAGCAGUAGGGAAUCUUCCGCAAUGGGCGAAAGCCUGACGGAGCAACGCCGCGUGAGUGAUGAAGGUCUUCGGAUCGUAAAGCUCUGUUAUUAGGGAAGCGGUACCUAAUCAGUAAGCCACGGCUAACUACGUGCCAGCAGCCGCGGUAAUAC
rnacentral:rRNA from 1 species